CCCUAUGGGGUGCAGCAGGUGCGAAAACUUCGCAAUGUGGGAAACCACGACGAGGGGAGUCCAAGUGCUUGCACAAUGUGUAGGCUGUUUCCGUGCCUAAAAAGCACGGAGAGUAAGGGCUGGGUAAGACGGGUGCCAGCCGCCGCGGUAAUACCCGCAGCCCGAGUGGUGGUCGCUAUUAUUGGGCCUAAAACGUCCGUAGCCGGCCCGGUAAAUUCUUGGGGAAAUCGGUCAGCUCAACUGACCGAAGUCCGAGGAGACUGCCGGGCUUGGGACUGGGUGAGGUCAGAGGUACUUCAGGGGUAGGGGUAAAAUCCUGUAAUCCUUGAGGGACCACCAGUGGCGAAGGCGUCUGACUAGAACGGAUCCGACGGUAAGGGACGAAGCCCUGGGGCACAAACGGGAUUAGAUACCCCGGUAGUCCAGGGUGUAAACGCUGUGGGCUUGGUGUUGGGAGUCCCACGAGGGCGCCCAGUGCCGGAGAGAAGUUGUUAAGCCUACUGCCUGGGGAGUACGCUCGCAAGAGUGAAACUUAAAGGAAUUGGCGGGGGAGCACCGCAACGGGUGGAGCGUGCGGUUUAAUUGGAUUCAACGCCGGAAAACUCACCGGGAGCGACGGUUAUAUGAAGACCAGGUUGAACGCCUUGUCUGAUUUUCCGAGAGGAAGUGCAUGGCCAA
rnacentral:rRNA from 1 species